rnacentral:rRNA from 1 species
CACCGCGGUUAUACGAGAGGCCCAAGUUGACAGACAGCGGCGUAAAGAGUGGUUAAGUUAAAAUUGUACUAAAGCCGAACACCCUCCAGGCUGUUAUACGCAUCCGAAGGUAAGAAGUUCAACCACGAAGGUGGCUUUAUUUAGUCUGAACCCACGAAAGCUACGACA